rnacentral:rRNA from 1 species
AUGAACGCUAGCGGCAGGCCUAAUACAUGCAAGUCGAACGGGAUUCAGAGCUUCGGUUCUGAUGAGAGUGGCGCACGGGUGCGUAACACGUAUGUAACCUACCUUAAUCAGGGGGAUAGCCUCUCGAAAGAGAGAUUAAGCCCGCAUAAAAUAACGAAGUGGCAUCACUAUGUUAUCAAAUAUUUAUAGGAUUAAGAUGGGCAUGCGGAACAUUAGCUAGUUGGUAAGGCAACGGCUUACCAAGGCUACGAUGUUUAGGGGAUCUGAGAGGAUGACCCCCCACACUGGUACUGAGACACGGACCAGACUCCUACGGGAGGCAGCAGUAAGGAAUAUUGGUCAAUGGGCGGAAGCCUGAACCAGCCAUGCCGCGUGCAGGAAGACGGCCCUACGGGUUGUAAACUGCUUUUAUACGGGAAUAAACCUUCGUAUGUAUACGAAGCUGAAUGUACUGUAAGAAUAAGGAUCGGCUAACUCCGUGCCAGCAGCCGCGGUAAUACGGAGGAUCCAAGCGUUAUCCGGAUUUAUUGGGUUUAAAGGGUGCGUAGGCGGCUUUUUAAGUCAGUGGUGAAAGACGGCAGCUUAACUGUCGCAGUGCCAUUGAUACUGAAGAGCUUGAAUGUACUAGAAGUAGGCGGAAUGUGACAAGUAGCGGUGAAAUGCAUAGAUAUGUCACAGAACACCGAUUGCGAAGGCAGCUUACUAUGGUAAUUAUUGACGCUGAGGCACGAAAGCGUGGGGAUCAAACAGGAUUAGAUACCCUGGUAGUCCACGCCCUAAACGAUGAACACUCGAUGUUGGCGAUAUACGGUCAGCGUCUAAGCGAAAGCGUUAAGUGUUCCACCUGGGGAGUACGCCCGCAAGGGUGAAACUCAAAGGAAUUGACGGGGCCCGCACAAGCGGAGGAGCAUGUGGUUUAAUUCGAUGAUACGCGAGGAACCUUACCCGGGCUUGAAAGUUAGUGAAUGUGGCAGAGACGCCACAGUCCUUCGGGACACGAAACUAGGUGCUGCAUGGCUGUCGUCAGCUCGUGCCGUGAGGUGUUGGGUUAAGUCCCGCAACGAGCGCAACCCCUGUGAAUAGUUGCCAGCAUGUUAUGGUGGGGACUCUAUUCAGACUGCCUACGCAAGUAGAGAGGAAGGAGGGGACGACGUCAAGUCAUCAUGGCCCUUACGUCCGGGGCUACACACGUGCUACAAUGGGCCAUACAGAGGGCAGCGACCCGGCAACAGGGAGCCAAUCUCAAAAAGUGGUUCACAGUUCGGAUCGGGGUCUGCAACUCGACCCCGUGAAGUUGGAUUCGCUAGUAAUCGCAGAUCAGCAAUGCUGCGGUGAAUACGUUCCCGGGCCUUGUACACACCGCCCGUCAAGCCAUGGAAGCUGGGGGUGCCUGAAGCCGGUAACCGCAAGGAGCCGUCUAGGGUAAAACCGGUAACUGGGGCU